GAUGAACGCUAGCUACAGGCUUAACACAUGCAAGUCGAGGGGAAACGACAUCGAAAGCUUGCUUUUGAUGGGCGUCGACCGGCGCACGGGUGAGUAACGCGUAUCCAACCUGCCCACCACUUGGGAUAACCUUGCGAAAGUAAGACUAAUACCCAAUGACGUCUCUAGAAGACAUCUGAAAGGGAUUAAAGAUUUAUCGGUGAUGGAUGGGGAUGCGUCUGAUUAGCUUGUUGGCGGGGUAACGGCCCACCAAGGCGACGAUCAGUAGGGGUUCUGAGAGGAAGGUCCCCCACAUUGGAACUGAGACACGGUCCAAACUCCUACGGGAGGCAGCAGUGAGGAAUAUUGGUCAAUGGGCGAGAGCCUGAACCAGCCAAGUAGCGUGCAGGAAGACGGCCCUAUGGGUUGUAAACUGCUUUUAUAAGGGAAUAAAGUGAGCCUCGUGAGGCUUUUUGCAUGUACCUUAUGAAUAAGGACCGGCUAAUUCCGUG
rnacentral:rRNA from 1 species